AACGAACGCUGGCGGCAGGCUUAACACAUGCAAGUCGAACGCAUCCUUCGGGGUGAGUGGCAGACGGGUGAGUAACGCGUGGGAACGUGCCCUUCAGUUCGGGAUAACCCAGGGAAACUUGGGCUAAUACCGGAUACGUGCGAGAGCAGAAAGAUUUAUCGCUGAAGGAUCGGCCCGCGUCUGAUUAGCUAGUUGGUGGGGUAAUGGCCCACCAAGGCGACGAUCAGUAGCUGGUCUGAGAGUAUGAUCAGCCACAUUUGGACUGGGACACGGCCCAAACUCCUACGGGGGGCAGCAGUGGGUAAUAUUGGACAAUGGGCGCAAGCCUGAUCCAGCCAUGCCGCGUGAGUGAUGAAGGCCUUAGGGUUGUAAAGCUCUUUCGUCCGGGACGAUAAUGACGGUACCGAAAGAAGAAGCCCCGGCUAACUUCGUGCCAGCCGCCGCCGUAA
rnacentral:rRNA from 1 species